rnacentral:rRNA from 1 species
UAGACCUGAGGUCAGGCAAGACCACCCGCUGAACUUAAGC